rnacentral:rRNA from 1 species
UACGAAGGGGGCUAGCGUUGUUCGGAAUUACUGGGCGUAAAGCGCACGUAGGCGGACUACUAAGUCAGGGGUGAAAUCCCGGGGCUCAACCCCGGAACUGCCUUUGAUACUGAUAGUCUCGAGUCCGGAAGAGGUGAGUGGAAUUCCGAGUGUAGAGGUGAAAUUCGUAGAUAUUCGGAGGAACACCAGUGGCGAAGGCGGCUCACUGGACUGGUAUUGACGCUGAGGAGCGAAAGCAUGGGGAGCGAACAGG